CUUUUACCAUAUGUACACAUGAAAAAUAAAAUAUUUAUUUGACAUUAUUUUUUUUUUAUUUUCUGUUAGGUGAUUUUUUUUACAAUUUUAUUUCAAUAUCCAAUGUCGGACUUUCAAAUUUUUAAUAUUUUAUUUUCAAAUCUAAAAAGGAGAAAUUAAACAUGAUGCCUAUGUGGUUAAUUGGAAUAAAUUGUGUCAUUUUGUCCAAAGAAUGCAACAACUUGUGUGCUGCUUCUUGAGUGUUCAAAAAUAAAGGUUGGGAUAGGGCAAGAGCAGCUUGUCUUGUCUCAAAUGUGCACCAACAUGAGUCAAUGAGAAAUUUGGUUACAUCCUAUCCUUUGUAUCAAAUCAAGUGUCUUGGGCAAUAUCAUAAUUGAGAUAGAAUGUCUA
rnacentral:misc_RNA from 1 species